rnacentral:rRNA from 1 species
AACGCACGCUGGCGGCAUGCCUAACACAUGCAAGUCGAACGAGACCUUCGGGUCUAGUGGCGCACGGGUGCGUAACGCGUGGGAACCUGCCCUUAGGUUCGGAAUAACUCCCCGAAAGGGGUGCUAAUACCGGAUAAUGUCUUCGGACCAAAGAUUUAUCGCCUUUGGAUGGGCCCGCGUUGGAUUAGCUAGUUGGUAGGGUAAAAGCCUACCAAGGCGACGAUCCAUAGCUGGUCUGAGAGGAUGAUCAGCCACACUGGGACUGAGACACGGCCCAGACUCCUACGGGAGGCAGCAGUGGGGAAUAGUGGACAAUGGGCGAAAGGCUGAUCCAGCAAGGCCGGGUGAGUGAUGAAGGCCUUAGGGUUGUAAAGCUCUUUUACCCGGGAUGAUAAUGACAGUACCGGGAGAAUAAGCGCCGGCUAACUACGUG